CAACGGAAAGCGGGCCGACUCAGUGUCUUCGCAAUCCGUACUCCUAUUGACACAACGACGAUGGCUGUCUCGAAGAUGGUUCUGCUGUUGGCCGUGGUGCUAGUCGUCACCAUCUGCAUCACCUCGACAGAAGGACAGCCACGACCCUCCGGACGUAACCCCGGACGUAACGCCGCACGUAACCCCAAGCCUUCUGGUGCUGGUGGUCGUCGGCCAAAAGGGUAUCGCACUCCCCAUCCCAUCCAGCCUGGAGAUAUUCCUAUUGGCUGAAGGGAACUGGCAUCAAGAGCAUCCUGAAGAAUUUGUACUUUUUUCGGUCGCGGUGUUCAAAGGGCUCAAAGUGUUUUUUUAAUAUUUUUGAAACUUGUCGGAUAUGGACAUUUGUUUCUGGCCUCAAACCUGCGUUGCCUGCUGCAUUCUUGAAAGCGCCAGAACAAGAAGUACAGAAAUAAAAUCAUGGGGCGUUC